GGAAUAUUGGACAAUGGGGGGAACCCUGAUCCAGCCAUGCCGCGUGUGUGAAGAAGGCCUUUUGGUUGUAAAGCACUUUAAGCGAGGAGGAGGCUACUUUGGUUAAUACCCAGAGAUAGUGGACGUUACUCGCAGAAUAAGCACCGGCUAACUCUGUGCCAGCAGCCGCGGUAAUACAGAGGGUGCGAGCGUUAAUCGGAUUUACUGGGCGUAAAGCGUACGUAGGUGGUCUUUUAAGUCGGAUGUGAAAUCCCUGAGCUUAACUUAGGAAUUGCAUUCGAUACUGGGAGACUAGAGUAUGGGAGAGGAUGGUAGAAUUCCAGGUGUAGCGGUGAAAUGCGUAGAGAUCUGGAGGAAUACCGAUGGCGAAGGCAGCCAUCUGGCCUAAUACUGACACUGAGGUACGAAAGCAUGGGGAGCAAACAGGAUUAGAUACCCUGG
rnacentral:rRNA from 1 species